rnacentral:misc_RNA from 1 species
GAAAUGCGAUAAGUAAUGUGAAUUGCAGAAUUCAGUGAAUCAUCGAAUCUUUGAACGCACAUUGCGCCCGCCAGCACUCUGGGGGGCAUGCCUGUCCGAGCGUCAUUGCUGCCCUUCAAGCCCGGCUUGUGUGUUGGGUCGUCGUCCCCUCCGGGGGACGGGCCCGAAAGGCAGCGACGGCACCGCGUCCGGUCCUCGAGCGUAUGGGGCUUUGUCACCCGCUCGAUAAGGACCGGCCGGGCGCCAGCCGGCGUCUCCAACCUUUUUUUCUCAGGUUGACCUCGGAUCAGGUAGGGAUACCCGCUGAACUUAAGC